GUGAAUCAUCGAAUCUUUGAACGCACCUUGCGCUCCUUGGUAUUCCGAGGAGCAUGCCUGUUUGAGUGUCAUGUUAUUCUCAAUCCCGUCUGCUUUGCGGCCGUCGGGUUUGGAUGGUGGAGGCUUGCUGGCCCCUCGCGGUCGGCUCCUCUUGAAUGCAUUAGCGGGGCUUAUGCUCGAUGCAACGGUGUAAUAAUGUCUUUUCACCGGAGUAACUUGCAAUUGAAAGUCCGCUUCUAAUCGUCUCGCAUGAGACAUUGUAAAGGGAUGGAUUUCUCUUUGACACCUUUGACCUCAAAUCAGGUAGGACUACCCGCUGAACUUAA
rnacentral:rRNA from 1 species